rnacentral:lncRNA from 1 species
UUGGAGACAUAAUACUCUCACAGUAACCAGUCAAGUGUCUGGCUCGAUACAAUUGUGUUUGCAGAUCAUGGUACGUGUGCUCUAAUUACUGGUCCUUUAUUUGCUGAAUAUCACCUUCAUCUUUCAACCUGAUCCUGAUAAGCUCUUCACUCUGUUUUUCCAUGUUUGGUUUUUCCGUUUCCCAUGUUUCCCUUAACCUUCCUGGUUCUGUUCGUUGAAGGGCCAUGCUGCAAGUCCCAAAC